CAGUCAGUGACUUGGGAUGAGAGGGGAUUUGGAGCUGGCUGGGGAAAUGGAGGGAGACCCAGGACUGGGGUCUAGGCUCCCUGCCC